rnacentral:lncRNA from 1 species
CACUAUUCUAAGGAAUUUUAUUAUGUUAACAAUUAUAUUACGCAGUAAAUAAAACCAUAAUAAAAUCAUAUAUUUAUUCAAUCAAAUAUAACAUCAAAACGUUAAGCAAUUAUAUCAAAUAAUUGGCCUCUAGGGCAUAAACUCUAACACGUUUGAGUGGGAACCGAAAUAGUUUGGCGCUGUCAGCGUAGUCAACUACCAGCAGGGUAGGCACCGUUGUCAAACUACC